CACCGCACCGCAAGAGCAGGAUAGCCGCAGCAGCAGGCGAGCGCGAGCCGGCACGCUGGUUUGGUUGCAGCGCCAAGACGCUGCCGAGAGCAGGAUAGCAGCAGCAGCAGGCGAGCGCGGGCCGGCAGUCCGGCACCAUGCCGACCGGCGGCGUGUUCUCCGGGUCGGUGAACCUGAAGCACGUCAAGCUGGGGUACCGGUACCUGCUGGACCACCUCCUGACGCUGCUGCUGGUGCCGGUCAUGGCCGCCACGGCGCUGGAGCUGGCGCGCCUGGGCCCUGGCGAGCUGCUGUCGCUGUGGCGGUCGCUGGAGCUGGACCUGGUCCACAUCCUCUGCUCCGCGUUCGUGGCCGUCUUCGCCGGCACCGUGUACGCGAUGUCGCGCCCCAGGCCCGUGUACCUGGUGGACUACGCCUGCUACAAGCCCCCCGGCAGCUGCCGCGUGCCCUUCGCCACCUUCAUGGAGCACACGCGCCUCAUCAGCGACGACGACAGGAGCGUGCGGUUCCAGACCCGGAUCCUGGAGCGGUCGGGGCUGGGCGAGGACACGUGCCUCCCGCCCGCCAACCACUUCAUCCCGCCCAACCCCAGCAUGGAGGCCUCCCGCGCCGAGGCGCAGCUCGUCGUCUUCUCCGCCAUCGACGACCUCCUCCGCCGCACGGGGACCAAGCCCAAGGACGUCGACAUCCUCGUCGUCAACUGCAGCCUCUUCUCCCCGACGCCCUCGCUGUCCGCCAUGGUCGUCAACAGGUACAAGCUCCGGAGCAACGUCCGGAGCUUCAACCUGUCCGGGAUGGGGUGCAGCGCCGGGCUCAUCUCCAUCGACCUCGCCAGGGACAUGCUGCAGGUGCACCCAAACUCGAACGCGCUGGUGGUGUCCACCGAGAUCAUCACCCCAAACUUCUACCGGGGGAGCCGGCGCGACAUGCUGCUCCCCAACUGCCUGUUCCGGAUGGGCGCGGCGGCGAUCCUGCUGUCCAACCGGCGGCGCGAGGCCCCGCGCGCCAAGUACCGGCUGGUGCACGUGGUGAGGACGCACAAGGGCGCGGACGACCGCGCGUACAGGUGCGUGUACCAGGAGGAGGACCAGCAGGGGUUCUCGGGCAUCUCGCUGUCCAAGGAGCUCAUGGCCAUCGCGGGCGACGCGCUCAAGUCCAACAUCACCACCAUCGGCCCGCUGGUGCUGCCCAUGUCGGAGCAGCUGCUCUUCUUCUUCCGCCUGGUGGGGCGCAAGCUCCUCAACGGGGGAUGGAAGCCCUACAUCCCGGACUUCAAGCUGGCGUUCGACCACUUCUGCAUCCACGCGGGCGGCCGCGCCGUCAUCGACGAGCUGCAGAAGAACCUGCAGCUGUCGCCGCGCCACGUGGAGGCGUCCCGCAUGACGCUGCACCGCUUCGGCAACACGUCCAGCAGCUCCCUCUGGUACGAGCUCGCAUACAUCGAGGCCAAGGGACGCAUGCGCCGCGGCGACCGCGUCUGGCAGAUCGGCUUCGGCAGCGGCUUCAAGUGCAACAGCGCCGUCUGGAAGUGCCUCCGCAGCGUCAACACGCCCACCAGCGGGCCCUGGGACGACUGCAUCCACCGCUACCCCGUCGACGUGCCGGAGGUCGUCAGCCUCUGAACUCUCCGGCUACAACAUAUACGUUCUCCGGCGAAGCAUUUCGCUUAAAGAAGAUUACAACUUUUUUCUUUCUUGUUCCUUCUUCUCAGCUGGUCUCUUCUCUUCCCUAUUUUCUUCUCUUCCCUAUAUAUACUCCGAUUGUUGUUGGAAGUAUCACACGAGGAAUGACCAUCACAGGCGGACGGGAGAUCAAACGAACUGCUUCCUGCUGGAUGCUCACGUGGGCGUACUGUCAAAAUUGACAUCUCCCAGGAAUAUUGUAAUCCAUGUCGUUGUAAACCGGUGAAAGGGGAUAUACAUACAUUUUUUCCUGUCACUUGCUUGUAGAAUGGAUUGUUAUUUGAGAAUGGCUGGGAUCAAGUGAUGCGCGGUGGGAGUGUCACUGAGAUUAGCUGCUAGCUGUUGACGGGAGGAGACAGCGUCGUUGCUUA
rnacentral:misc_RNA from 1 species